GACUGGAGGACUUAGGUUGCACGUGCGGUGACGGGGCCGCCUUCUAAAUCGUGCGCCUGAAGUCUCCAGAUAC
rnacentral:pre_miRNA from 1 species